rnacentral:rRNA from 1 species
UACAGAGACUGCAAGCGUUAUUCGGAUUCACUGGGCGUAAAGGGUGCGCAGGCGGCCAAGUGUGUGAGGCGUGAAAGCCUGGAGCUUAACUCCAGAAUUGCACCUCAAACUACAUGGCUAGAGCAUUGGAGAGGGUAGCGGAAUUCACGGUGUAGCAGUGAAAUGCGUAGAUAUUGGGAGGAACACCGGUGGCGAAGGCGGCCCCCUGGACCGGUACUGACGCUGAGGCGCGAAAGCGUGGGUAGCAAACGGG